AGUGUUGAGUAUCGAUACCCAAGA
rnacentral:miRNA from 1 species